AGGAAACUCACCUGCUCAAACCAUUUAGCAUCAGACUAACAGGAAAAAUUUACAAGCAUAGUAAUCUCCGACAGUAAAUCCAUGAGUAAGAAUAUGAAAAGGCUCAAUCAUUGACUACAUUCAAGGCAGACAUAUGUAGAUUUCCAGAUAUUGAGGACAUCAAAAAGUAUUGGAUUCGUAUAGGAAAAUGAUAUUGAUGUAGAAGAUCAGCCAUGAUCUCAUUAAAUGGCAGAAUGAGCUCACAGGGCCAAAUGGCCUACACCUACUGCUACUUCUAUGAUCUGGUGUUCAAAAGAGGCUGACCUUCUCUCAAAAUACAAAGGAAUGUUGUAUAAUUUCAACAAUGUGGAGACCGGAAGAGUUCGCACUGUGCCAAGGGUUUUAUAAGCAAAGGUUUAUAGACAUUGACAAAACUUUUCUGAUUUUCAAUUCCAUUCCUGUAAAAAUGAACUUGAGUACUUUGUUUGCAUUUUGAGGCCUUUUAGCCCAAGGCAUUACUUGUAAUGAUUUGUAACACGUCUCUAACAGUAUGUCCCUCUGCCCCCUUACACCAUGUAUUUUGCAGUGAGGAUGUGGCAUUGCAUUCCUCCCACUACAAAUCAAGCUCACAUUUAAUUUUAAGAAAGUAAAAGAAAUUAUGCCUGUUCUGAACCAUAAUUCUGUAUUCUUACCACUAUUUCCAAAUUCCAUCCAGCCUCUGCAUCUGGCUGAACCGGAAUAUUUAUAAUUGUGAAUUCCCCUAAGCUGAACUUCUGCCCUCAUUGUCUGUCUGUCUGUCAUAACUACCAUCCAUUUCAAUCUACAUAAAACAUACCUGUUCUGAUAUCCACUCAUUGAUUGUCGAAUUUUCAGGCACACCGUUGUUACUUCUAGUUUUAAUUCUGGACCCGAAGUUUUACCUCCUCAUCUCUUUAUCUGCCAUUAAAACCAUCUGAUCAACUUAUUUCUGUGACCAAGCUGUUAGUCAUCCCUUCUUCUGUUUCCUUCUUUUACUUGGUGGUGAUCUGUAUCUAAUUACACAUCCACAAAGCUCUAUAUAAUAUAAUUUGCACAUUAAUGGUUCAACAUGUAUGCAAAUUUUUGUUGUUGGAAGAGUGUCAACUUGAAGACUGCUUCAUUUACUGAUCAAAGAGAUAUAGAUUUCACAGUAUAGAAAGGCAUUUACGAGGCAUCUUUGGGAAUAUCAAGCAGCAGCAAGAUGUGAAAACUGCCACAAGAAGUAGUCCACUGGACUGAAGUCCUCAUUGGCCGGUAUCAUAACACAGGCACAGUGACCAUAAUUCAUGGUCUGAUUUAUGACGAUACAAAUGUUGAGCUCUCAAUUAGAGUAGCCUGCUUUGAUUGAAUUCACCAUAUGACAGAAUCAACUUGACACACCACUCAAAUCUUCAAGAGGUACUUUGUAACCCACUAGUCCGUUCUUGCACAGACCUGUACGUUUGCUGAAUGAGCAUCUAAAAUCACAGCUGUGUCAAGAACUACCACAUAUACUGACAGUUUCUCUCAGGGUGAGGCCACAUACAAAACCCUCAGGCAUUUCACUCAAAUAUUUGUAGUAAUGUGCUGAAGUUACAGGCCCCA